UGGAAAGAUCGUGGACGGCCAUGUGAUACGUGAAGGCUUGGAGCUAAAAAAUCGGAUUACGCUGUGUUAGGAAUACCAUCUUUCCCCUCCGAUUAGCACAUAAUCCCGAUUCUGCAGAAUAUUUUCCCUACCCUCCGCACAAAAAUCAAGGUUCAAUGAAAUUAGACCUAGCCCUCUUCUUCCUCAGUUAUUCAUCCUUCCAUCGGCAUUCUGAAGAACUCAGGGAAAAAAUUGAAAAGCUUCAACUUCGAACAAG
rnacentral:lncRNA from 1 species